rfam:Erythrobacter sp. QSSC1-22B contig00001, whole genome shotgun sequence.
CCACUUCACAUUAAGCUUCGCAUCGCUAUAUAGGGCGGGUCGGUUUCGGCCGACUAUGGCGAUAAAGUGUUGCGUACAAUAGGCACAACGGACCCGGGGGCAGUACCCGGCGGCUCCACCACCAGCGGCGAGAAACCGCCAUUGAUGCUGGGGCCGAACUAGGAUCGACGUGUGUUGAAAAGCGCAGUUUUUGCUCGGGCUGAGUAACCCGUUCAAGGCUCAAAACCAUAAGUGCCAAUGACAAUGAAGCACUCGCUCUUGCUGCGUAAUUUGAUGGCCUAACGGCCUGACUUUACAAAGCCAAAGCGCGGUUGGACCGACCGGGCAACAGAACGGAUUCCGG